AUACGUAGGGGGCGAGCGUUGUCCGGAAUGAUUGGGCGUAAAGGGCGCGUAGGCGGCCCGGUAAGUCUGGAGUGAAAGUCCUGUUUUUAAGAUGGGAAUUGCUUUGGAUACUGUCGGGCUUGAGUGCUGGAGAGGUAAGUGGAAUUCCCAGUGUAGCGGUGACAUGCGUAGAGAUUGGGAGGAACACCAGUGGCGAAGGCGACUUACUGGACUGUAACUGACGCUGAGGCGCGAAAGUGUGGGGAGCAAACAGGAUUAGAUACCCUGGUAGUCCACACUGUAAACGAUGAAUGCUAGGUGUAGGGGGUAUCGACCCCUUCUGUGCCGCAGUUAACACAAUAAGCAUUCCACCUGGGGAGUACGGCCGCAAGGUUGAAACUCAAAGGAAUUGACGGGG
rnacentral:rRNA from 1 species